rnacentral:rRNA from 1 species
ACGAAGGGGGCUAGCGUUGCUCGGAAUUACUGGGCGUAAAGCGCACGUAGGCGGGUCGUUAAGUCGGGGGUGAAAUCCUGGAGCUCAACUCCAGAACUGCCUUCGAUACUGGCGAUCUCGAGUCCGGGAGAGGUGAGUGGAACUCCGAGUGUAGAGGUGAAAUGCGUAGAUAUUCGGAAGAACACCAGUGGCGAAGGCGGCUCACUGGCCCGGUACUGACGCUGAGGUGCGAAAGCGUGGGGAGCAAACAG